rnacentral:rRNA from 1 species
ACACGUGGGUAACCUGCCUUAUAGUGGGGGAUAGCCUUUCGAAAGGAAGAUUAAUACCGCAUAAGAUUGUAGUAUCGCAUGAUAUAGCAAUUAAAGGAGCAAUCCGCUAUAAGAUGGACCCGCGUCGCAUUAGCUAGUUGGUGAGGUAAUGGCUCACCAAGGCGACGAUGCGUAGCCGACCUGAGUGGGUGAUCGGCCACAUUGGGACUGAGACACGGCCCAGACUCCUACGGGAGGCAGCAUG